UGGUCUAAUACUUCAUAAUAUCCAUCUCGUAUGGAUUAAAGCUUUAUGCGCUUUUGGGAGGGGCCUGCGUAACAUUAGCUUGUUGGUGAGGUAAAAGCUCACCCAAGGCUUCGAUGUUUAACUGGUUUGAGAGGAUGACCAGUCACACUGGGACUGAGAUACGGCCCAGACUCCUACGGGAGGCAGCAGUAAGGAAUCUUCCACAAUGGGGCAACCCUGAUGGAGCAAUACCGCGUGCAGGAUGAAGCGUUUCGGCGUGUAAACUGCUUUUAUCACCGAAGAUUAUGACUGUAGGUGAAGAAUAAGGACCGGCUAACUACGUG
rnacentral:rRNA from 1 species